rnacentral:tRNA from 1 species
GCGGCCGUAGUCGAGCCUGGCAACGACGCCGGCCUGCCACGCCGGCGGUCCCGGGUUCAAAUCCCGGCGGCCGCACCA